rnacentral:misc_RNA from 1 species
UACGAACCGUCCAAACGUUAUUCGGAAUUACUGGGCUUAAAGGGUGCGUAGGCGGCGCGGAAAGUUGGGUGUGAAAUCCCUCGGCUUAACCGAGGAAUUGCGCCCAAAACUACCGUGCUCGAGGGAGACAGAGGUGAGCGGAACUGAUGGUGGAGCGGUGAAAUGCGUUGAUAUCAUCAGGAACACCGGUGGCGAAAGCGGCUCACUGGGUCUCUUCUGACACUGAGGCACGAAAGCUAGGGGAGCGAACGGG